rnacentral:lncRNA from 1 species
AGUUAGAGCACAGGAUCACAUAACCUCUCCCCUACCCCAUUCUUUUUCCCAGACGCUUUUUAUCAGCCUAAAUGAACCACCUCAUUUACUGGCUUCAAGUAGGAGUCUCAACUCUGAAUCCUAUCUUGUUUGGAGCCCUGUUAGUCUUUUUACUCACAGGAGUCACCACUGCUCUUGAUACCUGCGGACCUGUGACUUCAGCCCAGCUGAGCACUUCAUGAGCAUUCCAUUCUCAUCCAUCACAAUGAACAUUCUGAAUAUAACUAACUUCCUUCCUUCCUGCCUUCCUCCCUCCCUGCCUUCCCUUCCUUCCUGCCUUCCUUCUUCCUUCCUCCCUUUUUUCUUUUCUCCCUUCCUUCCUUCUUAAUAUGUUUUUGGCCUUUUCUUUAUAUAUGUGGCCUAGCAAUAUCCUGUGUUUGGAAAAGUAUAAACCUAAGGCAUCACCUUUACAGAAAAUAUCUUCCACGGAAACAUCUAAAGGCAAAAAUCCUUCAAAUUCAAAUUUAUCCAAUCAUUUCUUCUGCUUACUACCAUCCUAAAUCAUUUUUCUUUAGUAAGAUCUAUUAGUGUGAAGCUAUUAAGCUAUUAAUGUAUGUAUCAUAUUAAUGUAUUAAGACAUUAAGUGAGGAAGUAAAGUUGCAUUCACAGGCCUUGAACUUUUCCACAUCUCGAUUUUUACCCAUCAUCUCUGCAUAGUUCCCUAAGGCAGCCUUCAAAUGGUGAUGUUUCUUAUAAUCCAGAGUUCAGAAGUGGCUUCUCUUCAAUCUUUCUGUGGAAUUCUAAACCACGUGAUAAAGGAGCUGGUGGCCACAGAUCAGCCCUGGGGUUCAGAGGGAUCCUGACAGCUACUCCUCAAGAUCCUCUCUGUUGUGAUUCAUCCCCCCGGGGCCCUACAGUUUCUCCUUCCUGACUCUUACAUUUCUUUGGAUGGCAUCAUUAUUUACCUGUCUCCUCCCAUAGUUAGGUGCCAAGCACUGUGGAUUCUGCCUCUCAGUGUCCAGACACCCAUUUUCCUUCCCACUGUUCCUUCCCCAUGGAGAAGCCUGUGGCUGGCUGACAGCAGAGAGAGAUGCUCAACUUGGAGAAGGUGUUACCUGGGCCAGGUGGGGAAGGUUUGUUUGCAGAGCAAAGAAGUGAAGGAAGUAUUAACCCUUUGCAUGGCCUCCUGAGAAUCCGACAAGACCCUAUUCAACGUGAAAAAGAUGAGGAUGAAGACCUUUAUUAUGAUCCACUUCCAAGUAAUGAACACACUGGAGAAAGUCAGACAGUCAAAACAAUGUCCCAGACUCCGUGAAGUUCCUGGGUAGAGAAGGAGACAGACAUAUACCAUACCUAAUAAUUGGAUGUCCGAGAGAAUGAGAGAAUGGCAGAAAGAACUUUAGAGCAUGGGUAUGAUGGCUAGAGCUUGAGCAGCCAUUGUGGACAUCAGAUGAACUUGAAAGUGAAAACUAUGAGCUGAAUACGACAAAGCAAACAGAUAGAAAACUGGAUUCAUUAUGACAUUGCAAAGCUGCCAGACCAGCUCUAGUCUGCUUCCCCCUAAUCUUCCUUACUAAGAGAGAGAAAUAAACUUCCAUCUUCUU